UACGUAGGGGGCAAGCGUUGUCCGGAUUUACUGGGCGGAAAGAGCGUGUAGGCGGCCAAGCAGGUCCGUUGUGAAAACUGGAGGCUUAACCUCCAGACGUCGACGGAAACCGCGUGGCUAGAGUCCGGAAGAGGAGAGUGGAAUUCCUGGUGUAGCGGUGAAAUGCGCAGAUAUCAGGAAGAACACCAAUGGCGAAGGCAGCUCUCUGGGACGGUACUGACGCUGAGACGCGAAAGCGUGGGGAGCGAUCCGG
rnacentral:rRNA from 1 species